AAUAGAUACCCGGGUAGUCCACGCCGUAAACGAUGAGUGCUAAGUGUUAGAGGGCUUCCACCCUUUAGUGCUGCAGCUAACGCAUUAAGCACUCCGCCUGGGGAGUACGGCCGCAAGGCUGAAACUCAAAGGAACUUGACGGGGGCCCGCACAAGCGGUGGAGCAUGUGGUUUAAUUCGAAGCAACGCGAAGAACCUUACCAGGUCUUGACAUCCUUCGCUACCUCUAGAGAUAGAGGGUUCCCCUUCGGGGGACGGAGUGACAGGUGGUGCAUGGUUGUCGUCAGCUCGUGUCGUGAGAUGUUGGGUUAAGUCCCGCAACGAGCGCAACCCUUGACCUUAGUUGCCAGCAUUCAGUUGGGCACUCUAAGGUGACUGCCGGUGACAAACCGGAGGAAGGUGGGGAUGACGUCAAAUCAUCAUGCCCUUUAUGACCUGGGCUACACACGUGCUACAAUGGAUGGUACAAAGGGUCGCGAAACCGCGAGGUGGAGCCAAUCCCAAAAAACCAUUCUCAGUUCGGAUUGCAGG
rnacentral:rRNA from 1 species